UACGAAGGUGGCAAGCGUUGUUCGGAAUUACUGGGCGUAAAGGGCUCGUAGGCGGCCAACUAAGUCACACGUGAAAUCCCCAGGCUUAACCUGGGAACUGCGUGUGAUACUGGAUGGCUUGAAUCCGGGAGAGGGAUGCAGAAUUCCAGGUGUAGCGGUGAAAUGCGUAGAUAUCUGGAGGAAUACCGGUGGCGAAGGCGGCAUCCUGGACCGGCAUUGACGCUGAUGAGCGAAAGCUAGGGGAGCAAACGGG
rnacentral:rRNA from 1 species